rnacentral:pre_miRNA from 1 species
AAAGACUGUAGUUUUGUAUUAUUUGUGUUUAACGUUUACCAUCUGUCUUAUUUGUAAAAACUUUUAUGAUUAGUAUUUUUAUUGUUAUUAUAUGGUAAAACAUGAAUAAUACUUUAUGUUGAACUAAUUUUUUUAAAUAAGACGAACGAUUAAACGUUGGACGUGAAAACACACGACUACAUUUAAA